rnacentral:lncRNA from 1 species
GAACAAUCCUACAAUCUCCAGUUCAUGUCAAGAAGUACUCAAGAUAUUCUGGUGGAAUUCCACAGCUACUUAAACCAAGCAGUGUCUAUUUUGGAAUGGAUGGAAAACAACUCCAUUGCCUCAGGUCUUUUAAAACAAGUCAGAAAGUCAAGAAAAGAGGAAAUAGUAUUAAAGAUGAGAUAAGCUUAUUUUCCCAUGGCAC